UACGAAGGGUGCUAGCGUUGUUCGGAAUCACUGGGCGUAAAGCGUGCGCAGGCGGCGUCUCAAGUCAGGGGUGAAAUCCUGGGGCUUAACCCCAGAAUUGCCUUUGAAACUAGGAUGCUAGAGUCCCGGAGGGGUUUGGGGAAUUCCUAAUGUAGCGGUGAAAUGCGUAGAUAUUAGGAGGAACACCAGUGGCGAAGGCGCCAAACUGGACGGGUACUGACGCUCAGGCACGAAAGCGUGGGGAUCAAACAGG
rnacentral:rRNA from 1 species